AUGCUAAUAGUCAUGGAGAACCCCCCUCUGCUAAAACUCAUCUCACUCGCUCUACUACUAAUAGCCUGGUUUCCCCCGGCCAUGGCAGUGCCGCCAUCACUGCAAGAACAAGCAGGGGCCCUUCUCGCCUGGAAAGCCACACUACGAAGCCACCCAGCCCAGCUUCAAUCGUGGGCAAGGCGAAACAACACUGUGUGGCCGUGCAGCUGGUACGGCAUCAGGUGCAGCAAGCAUCAACCAAGGCACCAAGAGGUGAUCACCGAGAUCUCUCUACGGGGGCUGCGGCUGAGAGGGGAGCUGAACGCCCUAAACUUCACGGCGUUGCGUACUCUGUCGAGUAUCCAACUCUCCCACAAUCAGAUAAGGGGCUUCUUUCCACCUUCUUUAGCAUCAUCCUUGCCAAACCUUCAACACCUAAUGCUUCAGGAGAAUCAACUCUCUGGUGAAAUACCAUGGCAAAUAGAACAAUUACAGAAUCUCGUUGGACUGGAUUUAUCAGCAAAUCACUUGUCUAGCACCAUCCCCAGUGUACUAGGCUACCUAAAGAAACUACUUAGGGUAGAUUUAUCCAACAACAACCUCACAGGCCCUAUCCCAAGAAGUUUAGGAAACUGCACUAAGCUCACUACCUUAUACCUUUCUGGUAAUCAAUUAUCUGGGCUUCUUCCUCGAGAACUAGGUUACCUAGCGAAUUUACAAGAGUUGGAUCUUAGCAACAACAAACUUGUCGGUUCCAUCCCCAGUGUACUAGGUUACCUAAAAAAACUACAUAGGGUAAAUUUAUCCAACAACAACCUCACAGGCCCCAUUCCAAGAAAUUUAGGGAAUUGUACUGAGCUCACUAUAUUAUACCUUUAUGGUUGUCAAUUAUCUGGAUAUCUUCCUCGAGAACUAGGUUACCCGUCAAAUUUACAAGAGUUGGCUCUUAGCCAUAACAAACUCAUUGGUUGCAUCCCCAAUGAACUAGGCUACCUACAGAAACUGCAUAGGAUGGAUUUAUCUAGCAACAACCUCACUGGCCCCAUUCCAACUAAUUUCGGGAAUUUAACAAAGCUCACUUUCUUGCUCCUUGGUCGUAAUCAACUAUCCAGAUACAUUCCUCGAGAAUUAGGUUACCUGCUAAAUUUACAAGAGUUGGCUCUUGAGAAAAACAACCUCAUUGGUUCCAUCCCCAAUACCUUUGGGCAUCUCAUUAACCUCAAUGGCUUGUACCUUUGGGGUAACAAACUUUUCGAGCAUAUUCCUCAAGAGCUAGGUAACCUAGUGAAUCUACAAGAUUUGGAACUUAGUGAUAACCAACUCAUUGGUUCCAUCCCAAGUACCUUUGGAAAUCUAACUAAGCUCACUAUCUUGUACCUUGAUGGCAAUAAGUUCACCAACUUUCUUCCCCGAGAACUAGGCUACCUAGUGAAUUUAGAAGAUUUGGAACUUAGCAGGAACCAACUCAUCGGUUCCAUCCCCAAUGUCUUUGGAAAUUUUACCAAGCUCACUAUCUUGUACCUCUAUGAUUACCAGUUCACCGGAUAUCUUCCUCGAGAACUAGGUUACCUAAUGAAUCUACAAGAUUUGGAGCUACACAAGAACAAACUCAUGGGUUCCAUCCCCAAUAUAUUUGGAAAUUUGACUAAGCUCACUCGCUUGAACCUCAAUGAAAAUCAAUUCUCUGGACAUGUUCCUCAAGAAAUUGGUUCCUCAAGCGAUCUUGUGGCACUACACUUGGAGAGUAACAAUAUCUCUGGUCCCUUACCACCUGAGUUGUGCUCCGGAGGCCGGCUAAAGAAUUUAACUGCAUUUGAUAACAACCUAAAUGGACCUCUGCCGUCAAGUUUGGUACACUGCACAAGCCUAGUUAGAGUUCGUCUUGAAAGGAAUCAAAUAGAAGGAGAUAUUUCUGAGUUGGGAGCUUAUCCAAAUCUGGUGUACAUGGAGAGGAGCUCGAAUAAAAUAUUUGGCCAAUUAUCUUAUCGUUGGGGGGAGUGUCGUAGUCUUACUAUGCUACGCCUCUCAAACAACAACCUCACAGGCAAAAUACCCAUAAGUAUGGGGCAAGUGUCUCAGCUAGGGCUACUUGAUCUUUCAUCAAACAAGCUUGAAGGAGAGAUUCCAAGUGCACUAGGCAAUCUAAAAAAAUUGUUCAACUUGAGCCUCGUAGACAAUUUGCUGCAUGGAAGCAUACCACAAGAAAUUGGGGCACUGUCCAGUCUAGAACUGCUAGAUUUGUCAUCAAAUAGCCUAAGUGGCUUGGUACAAGGACCAAUUGAGAAUUAUUUAAAGCUUCGCUCGUUGAAUUUGAGACGCAAUAACUUCAAAGGGAACAUCCCUACCAUUCUAGGGGUGUUGCACAACUUACACAUGUUGGAUUUAAGUGAUAAUUCAUUUUCUGGGGCAAUACCAAGCCAACUAAGUGGCCUGAUUAUGCUAGAUACUUUGAAUCUUUCACACAAUGAACUUAAUGGAUCCAUCCCGUCAUCAUUUUAG
rnacentral:rRNA from 1 species